GCCUCUAUAGUUUAUAAAAAAUACUAUCUUUGUAAGUUAGAGAAGAAAUCUAAAGGCA
rnacentral:tRNA from 1 species